CCCGCUCCCGCCCCCGCCCCCGCCCCCGCCCCUGGCCUGGAGCGCGGCCCCGGCGUCCCGGAUGCCCGAGGCCUGCUGGUCCCAGGCAGAGCCGUCCCCGUCCCGCGCCGCCGCUCAAGCUCAGAGAAGGGGCGUGGGGCCACCCCGGGAGCGGCGCAGCCUUUUCCCCACGCGUUGGAGCCCUGGGCUCUGCUCGGCUCCCCUAGUGGUGCCGGAUCCAGGGGACAGCGCGACAGACACCAUUGCCACGUGGGUGCAGCCUCAGGACGUCCUGAAAGCCGGAGAGAAUCAGGUCACACGAACGUGGCCGGUCUGUUGUUAAGCUUCUGCCAAGAGCCAGGCCCGGGGCAGGGGGAGCCCUUCUGAACUGGGAAUUGUCCCUACCCACGGGAAGCUUAGAGGAUGGAGGGCAAUGCGGGGCACAGGUCAUUGGCCUGACCUCCAAGGGGAGUUCCAGGAGUUGUUUCUGGAAGAGGCGACGGGGAGGCCCCAGGAAAUGGCUUGCAGGCCGGUACCAUGAGUAAAGGAGGAGAAGACCCACCAGGCAGAAGAGACAGGGAGAGGACACUGGGGUGUCUUCGGGCUGCCAGCACAACGUUCCACAAGCUGGAGGGCUCAGAACAACAGAAACGUCUUCUCUCACAGCUUGGAGAGAAAUAACAAGGUUGAUGGGAAUUAUGAGCCAGGCACAGUGGAGGAAAACCAAUUGAUAAAUAUCAUCAUCUCACAAGGGUCUUUGCAGAUGAUCAAGUGAAGAUGAAGUCACCAGAGUGGGCUGUAAUCCAAGAUGACUGUGUCCUUGUAAUACCCCUGUGUACUGGGGAUUAGGAUUUCAGCAGGAGGCCAGAAAUCCAGAUCAAAGUGUAGGCUAGGUUCGUUUCCGUUUGGAGGCUGCACGGGCAAAUCUGUUCCCUGCAUCUCUCCAGGCUCCUGGGGUUUGCCAACAAAUCUUCCAUGUUCCUCGGCCUAUAGAAGCAUUGCCCCGUCUCUGCCUCCAUCUCUACUAGGCCCUGUGUGUGUGUGUGUGUGUGUGUGUGUGUCUGAGUCUAGACUUUACAGGGACACAGUCAUGUUGGAUUAGAGCCCAUCCUGGUGAUUCAUCUUCACCUCAUCAUCCGCAAAGACCCUGUGAGACGAUGAUAUUUAUGCAUUGGUUUUCCUCCACCAUGCCUGGCUCAUAAUUCCCAUCACCCUUGUUAUUUCCUCAGUGACUAUAGCAAUAAGCAGAUCUUUUGUUACAAUAUUUGUUCUUUUUUCCUUGGUUCCUGAAGCAGUGUGGAAACAGCUUCAGAGCAAUAAAGGGGAACGAUAGUCCUGUGU